UUUUUUUUCCUUUUUUUUUUUUUUUUUUUUGAGAGAGAUAGAUGACACGCUACUCGCUUCAUUUAUUUUAUCUAGAAAUAAACUUAGUUGGAAAUCUGAAUCAACUAUGAUUCGAACUUAGGUCUCAAGUACCAACCACCAAACCCUUUGUCAGUUGCUCUAGGGACGGUCGUUACUCUUUAUCCCCAUAUUUUUAUAACGA
rnacentral:lncRNA from 1 species